CAAACUCCCUCCUUGCUUGGGGACCAGACUACCUUUGUAAAAGUAACAAAUUGGAGGCCAGGUGAGGUGGCUCACGCCUCUAAUCCCAGCACUUUGGGAGGCCGAGGCAGGUGGAUCAUCUGAGCUCAGGAGUUCGAGACCAGCUUGGCCAAGAUGGUGAAACCCCAUCUCUACUAAGAAUACAAAAAUUAGCCAGGUAUGGUGGCAGGCACCUGUAAUCCCAGUUACUUUGGAGGCCGAGGCAGGAGAAUUGCUUGAACCCGGGAGGCGGAGGUUGCAGUGAGCCAAGAUUACACUAUUGCACUCCAGCCUGGGUGACAACAGUGAAAUUCUGUCUCAAAAAAAAAAAAGAGAGAGAGAGAGAGAUGGGGUCUUCCUAUGUUGCCCUCCCACUUGGGAUUAUAAUCAUGAGCCACCACUCCUAGCAAGACUUGUGACUUCUCCAAAUGCUCCUAUAGAUAACACCACUAUUGUAGAACCUAAGGUUGGUCUUUUGAGAUGUUUUUCAGACCUUUGCAUUGUGGCAACCAACUGACCCUACCCAGACUCAUGACUUAGCUAGUCCUGUGGCCCGCCCCCACCCAGAGGUGGACUAAGCCCACGAUGGCCAUUUUCCACACCCCUAUGAUUGCAUCCCCAACCAAUCAGCAGCACCCAUUUCCCAGACCACUGCCCAUCAAACUAUCCUUCAAAAAUCCUAACCUCCAAGCCUUCAGGGACACUGAUUUGAGUGAUAACUCCAGUCCUCUUGUGUGACUGACCUCACAUUAAUUAAACUCUUUCUUUAUUGCAAUACCAUGGUCUCGGUGAGCUAGUUUCAUUUGUGCAACAGGCAAGAAGAACCCACUGGGUGAUUACACCACUUAAUCUCUCUGAGACUCACUGAGUUCAUAUGUGAAAUGGGGCUAGUAAUGCUCACAGUGUUCUGAAGAUGAAAGAGAUAAAAACAUUAUAGGGGGUAGGUGUUUCAAUGACCAGGAUUUUCUUGUCCUCUGACCAAAGCUCACUGUUCCCGGGAUUCAGGUGUUUUUGUCAAUAGUAUCGAAAGUCUUAAAGUUGAGGCACAUAUCUGCAGACUCAACAUUGUUCCUGCAGGAUUUUCCCAAGGGAUAAAGUAACAGCAUAUUGUGCUAAGACUUACAAACAUCACCGUUGAGUGUAACCAAAAAUUGGAAACCAACCAACAGUAGGGACUAAUUUCACAAAUCAUAGUGUACCACUCCCAUAAACCAUGUAUAAGGGUCAAGGGAAAAGUUCCCCUUCUCCUCUGAAGGGUCACUGAAAAAUCAACUGACAAAAGGCAGAUUAAUAGGAGAGUAUACAAAAUGUAUUUUAACAUGUAUAACUAGGGGGCACCACAGGAGGAUGAUUACCCAGUAACUCAAUGGGAUACAGAAGCUUAUAUACCCUUAUUCAUAGGGGAUGGGGUAGAUGGGGAAUGCAGUCAAUUUCCCACAUGGGGAAAUGCAAAUGAUGAUUAGGGAGAAUGAGUGGACAGAAAUUAGCUUAUAAAUGAUUCUCUUCAGAAUCUGAAUGAGCCGACAGGCAGGCAUUAUCUUGUGAAAAAGCUCAUACAUGUGUGGUUGCAUUCCUCAGUCUUAUUUUCUGGGAUAGAUAAUGAGAUUUCAGGGAGGGGAGGAAGGGAAUUUGUGAUACCAAUAACAAUGUGUAGUCAAUCAAUAGCUUAUGUUAUCUUAAUAUAAAUUCUUGAUAAACAUCUUAGGAAUGGCCUCUUCUUUUUUCCUUAAAAACCUAACUGUAACUGCUGGUAAUCAG
rnacentral:lncRNA from 1 species